AUGCUGACGGUGACGGCCUCGGUGCAGGCGGCGCCGGCCAUCGGUCAGAUGUACUUCCAGCGCGCCCUCGACGACGCCGGCGACUUCUUCGGCAAGACGCUGCUGAUGGAACUCGUCAGCUCCGAGGUCGACGCAAGUGAGUAGUAGUGCGUGAUACCGUCCGUCUGUUAGUCUGUAUGUAUAUGUACCUGAACCUGAUCGAGCGAGUCUGAGGCUCUGAGCAUGUGUGGUGGUGGUGGUGGGUGCAGAGACGGGUCUGGAGAAGCCGCGGGUGACGGCGUUCGCUCACAAGACGCUGCGG
rnacentral:lncRNA from 1 species